rnacentral:rRNA from 1 species
CGGGACACGUGGUAUCCUGUCUGAAUAUGGGGGGACCAUCCUCCAAGGCUAAAUACUCCUGACUGACCGAUAGUGAACCAGUACCGUGAGGGAAAGGCGAAAAGAACCCCGGCGAGGGGAGUGAAAAAGAACCUGAAACCGUGUACGUACAAGCAGUGGGAGCACGCUUAGGCGUGUGACUGCGUACCUUUUGUAUAAUGGGUCAGCGACUUAUAUUCUGUAGCAAGGUUAACCGAAUAGGGGAGCCGAAGGGAAACCGAGUCUUAACUGGGCGUUAAGUUGCAGGGUAUAGACCCGAAACCCGGUGAUCUAGCCAUGGGCAGGUUGAAGGUUGGGUAACACUAACUGGAGGACCGAACCGACUAAUGUUGAAAAAUUAGCGGAUGACUUGUGGCUGGGGGUGAAAGGCCAAUCAAACCGGGAGAUAGCUGGUUCUCCCCGAAAGCUAUUUAGGUAGCGCCUCGUGAAUUCAUCUCCGGGGGUAGAGCACUGUUUCGGCAAGGGGGUCAUCCCGACUUACCAACCCGAUGCAAACUGCGAAUACCGGAGAAUGUUAUCACGGGAGACACACGGCGGGUGCUAACGUCCGUCGUGAAGAGGGAAACAACCCAGACCGCCAGCUAAGGUCCCAAAGUCAUGGUUAAGUGGGAAACGAUGUGGGAAGGCCCAGACAGCCAGGAUGUUGGCUUAGAAGCAGCCAUCAUUUAAAGAAAGCGUAAUAGCUCACUGGUCGAGU